rnacentral:lncRNA from 1 species
UGGAGGUUCGGUCCAGCUCAGCUUGAGGGGGGGACUGACUGCUGCAGUGUGGGGGACAUCUGUUGAAAUAAGAGAUGGGGGCCGAUUUUUUAAAGGUCCGGGGGUCGAGGGACCGCCUGGGUGUGGCGGCCGGAGUGGCGCUGGGUUUGGCAUGGACUGUGGUGUCGGGGGCGCCCUUGGAGGCAGUGAUUUUGGUGUCCAGGAGGUUCGCGACAGUUUGGCUGGCCUGUGUUGAAGAUGGCUUAGGGCCGUGUUCCUUUCUGGAAAAGUGUUCUACCAGGGUGUUUGCUUCGUGAUUGCUCUGCCAUAGGAGGGGAAUGUCGUCAACGUAUCUAGAGUGAAGUAACUCUUUAGUGAGAGCGGAGCUAAGCUGACUUUAACUCCUGCCAUGGGGCUCCCGAUGGGAACCCCUUGUAGUUGCUUAUAAUGGGUGCCUUCGUGUUCAAGAGGGGAGUUGUGGCGGACAAUAUAUGCAAUUUUGCGUGGGAGUUCAUAGUCCCGAUGGUCGCAGGUGUAUAGUGAAUCGGAAAUGUGUAAAAGAGGAGGCAGGUGGCGUUUAAGUUGAGGGAAGAAUAGAGGGACUCAAAAUCAAGAGUUGUCAUGACACCAUCAGCGGUGGGAUGCAAUUGCCUUAAGUUGGCAAGGAAUUCCAUGGGGGAGGAUACAGUGCGGGGAUAAGGUGUCAAAAGGUUAAGGCACCACUUGGCUAGAGAUUUCUCGA